rnacentral:rRNA from 1 species
GUGGGGAAUAUUCCGCAAUGGACGAAAGUCUGACGGAGCAACGCCGCGUGAGUGAUGAAGGUUUUCGGACUGUAAAGCUCUGUUGUUUAGGACGAAAGUGCCUGUUGCAAAUAGUUACAGGUAUUGACGGUACUGAACGAGGAAGCCAUGGCUAACUACGUGCCAGCAGCCGCGGUAAUACGUAGGUGGCAAGCGUUGUCCGGAAUUAUUGGGCGUAAAGAGCAUGUAGGCGGGAAUCUAAGUCUGUUGUGAAAAUGCGGGGCUCAACCCCGUAUUGCGAUGGAAACUGGGUUUCUUGAGUGCAGGAGAGGAAAGGGGAAUUCCCAGUGUAGCGGUGAAAUGCGUAGAUAUUGGGAGGAACACCAGUGGCGAAGGCGCCUUUCUGGACUGUGUCUGACGCUGAGAUGCGAAAGCCAGGGUAGCGAACGGGAUUAGAAACCCCGGUAGUCC